UAAUGUGGUAUUCUAGAUGGAAUCCUGGAAUAGAAAAAGGACAUCAGGUAAAAAACUAAGGAAAUUUGAGUAAAGUAUGGACUUUAAUAAUAAUGUACCACUAUUUGUUCACUAAGUGUAACAAACGUACCAUACUAAUGUGAGAUGAUAACCAGAGGGCAGACUAGAUGGGAACUCUGCACUGUCUAUGCAAUUUUUCUGUAAAUCUAACAUGGCCUAAAAAUAAAGUUUAUUUUUAAAAGUUUAUUAAGAAGAAAAACAGAAAAAAAGGGAGUAGCAGAAGCGAUGUCCUAGUGCGGUAGACAAUUAAUUGACAAAUUACAGAGAUAAUAAUUGUUCUGAAACUCAGUGCAGGGAGAGAGAUCAUGUGAGGCUAGACUUGCCAAGGACUACUUCAUGGAAGCAGUGGUGCUUAAAAUGUCUUUUAAAGACUGAUGUUUACAAGUAUAAAUUGGACCAACUUUAGCUUAUGAGUAAUGAUUAUAUCUUAAUUAACUAAUUGAUGGAUUGUUAAGUCCAAGUAAAUAUGUAAAGUAAGUGAACUUAAACAUUAUUCAUACUAGUUAGUAAGAUAUAAGUACUGAUUUGACUAUGUAAAUCUUAAGGUCAGCCUUAGAAUGCAAAGCGAACUUCUUUGUCUGUGUUCUUUCUUGAAAAUUUUUUGAAUUAAAAAAUUUUAAAACAAGUAAGAAUAUGUGAAAAACCCUUGGCCAGCCUCUAUCUAGACCAUUCCAUAAGCAGAAGCAGCAGAGCAGUACCUACUUUUUCAAAUAGCAAUUAGUAGUGAAAGUAAUGCAGGAUAAUCAAGAGACAAAAUAUAAAACCCCUUGAGGGUUUGCGUAUCUCUCCAUCUGCAGUGCCAGCAAAAUACUCAACUCUCCUGGUUCAACCCUGAUCCUUUUGACCCUUUUUUCUCAGUCUCCUUUACCGCAUGUUCCUCCAUCUGCUCGUAAGGAAUAAAAACAGACAUCGAAGGAAUAUAGAGAACGGAAAAGACAGACGGCCAUUGUUGAAGAUGUGCAUGGAGUUGACACAACCCUUCAAGACUGGAGACGAGAGUCCUUGGACAGUCUCCAGAGCAGGAAGUCAACUGCCCUGGGCUUUCUAAACAAGCACAUUCUCACAUCUUGUAAUGGUAUCACAGCUGGGGUGUAAUUUUUUAAGUGUCAGAGAACUUAAGUAUUUCACAAGUUCCUUCCAGUGCAAUUGUCCCUGGGUGUCUGUUGACACCUGUCCCACCUUCUCCCCAGCCCUCCAGCUUUAAAAUCUUCCCUAGGAGAUAAAUGUCUCCCUCUAAAAGCACUCCCUUCUUCAAUUCCCAUCUACAAAUCCUCCUUGGAAAGCCAGGAUCAAUCAAUCAAUUGGAUAGUAUUGAUUUUCUAAGUGCUUUCUUUAGUUUUUUUCCAAUUAAUUUUUUCGAAUAAAUGAUUUAUGUACAUUGUAAAAAUUGCA
rnacentral:lncRNA from 1 species